rnacentral:piRNA from 1 species
UGGUCUUCUGUGUCUUCAUAUUUGUGC